UGUCUCCUCUACUUCCUCACAGGAAUUAGAUUCAGCCCGCUUCCGUAGCGGGCUUUUUUUU
rfam:Janthinobacterium sp. KBS0711 VM94_contig000025, whole genome shotgun sequence.